CUUCAGCAUUUUUAUCUUCAUUAUAUACUUGCCUAAAAGAGAAGUAAUGGCCCAAAGUAAUGAGGAUAUAAUCCAAGGAAAUCCUUCUAAGAAAUUUGGGAUAUUUGCAGCCGCUCUGAGGAUUGUCGCAGGAGGUUUAACUGGUGCCAUAAAUCAAAUUCCUCCAUCGGAAGUUAUGAUAAAUCCACCUCCCUUCGUUAUUAAUAUACCAGUUCCUAUUCUGGCUAAUAGCGGUAAAAGAUCAGAGAAUAGUAAAGGCUGAAGGCCACUUGUCAUUCGUAACCAAAGAAGAAGAAAACAACUCGUAGUUGCUUGAAUCUUGUGAUGGUUAAUAAAGAAUUGUUUGGCUGAAC
rnacentral:lncRNA from 1 species